rnacentral:rRNA from 1 species
GACGAACGCUGGCGGCGUGCUUAACACAUGCAAGUCGAGCGGUAAGGCCUUUUCGGGGGUACACGAGCGGCGAACGGGUGAGUAACACGUGGGUGUCCUGCUCUCUGCUCUUGGAUAAGACCGGGAUACUGGGUCUAAUAUCGGAUAUGACCUUUACUUGCAUGGGGUUUGGUGGAAAGUUUUUUCGGCUGGGGAUGGGCACGCGGCCUAUCAGCUUGUUGGUGGGGGGAUGGCCUAACAAGGCGGCGACGGGUAGCCGGCCUGGUAGGGCGACCGGCCACGAUGGGGCUGAGACCCGGCCCAAACCGCUACGGGGGGCUGUGGAAGAGAGUAUAGCGCAAUGGGACCAAGACUAACGCAGCGGCGCCGAGUGGGGGAUGACGUCGUUCGGGAAUUAAACCUCUUACGACCCCGACGAAUUUUGACGGUAGCUGUAGAAGAAGCACCGGCCAACUACGUG